CUUGGCGGCCAUAGCGCGGUGGUCCCACCUGAUCCCAUGCCGAACUCAGAAGUGAAACGCCGUAGCGCCGAUGGUAGUGUG
rnacentral:rRNA from 1 species